UACGUAGGGGGCAAGCGUUGUCCGGAUUUAUUGGGCGUAAAGAGCGUGUAGGCGGCCUGACAAGUCUGCUGUGAAAACUCGAGGCUCAACCUCGAGAUGUCGGCGGAAACUGUCUGGCUAGAGUCCGGAAGAGGAGAGUGGAAUUCCUGGUGUAGCGGUGAAAUGCGCAGAUAUCAGGAAGAACACCUAUGGCGAAGGCAGCUCUCUGGGACGGUACUGACGCUGAGACGCGAAAGCGUGGGGAGCAAACAGG
rnacentral:rRNA from 1 species